GACGAACGCUGGCGGCGUGCCUAAUACAUGCAAGUCGAGCGGAGUGAAUAGAAGUGCUUGCACUUCUAUUCACUCAGCGGCGGACGGGUGAGUAACACGUAGGUAACCUGCCUGUAAGACUGGGAUAACUACCGGAAACGGUAGCUAAUACCGGAUAAUUUGUUUCCUCACCUGAGGAGACACUGAAAGGCGGAGCAAUCUGUCACUUAUAGAUGGGCCUGCGGCGCAUUAGCUAGUUGGUGAGGUAACGGCUCACCAAGGCGACGAUGCGUACCCGACCUGAGAGGGUGAACGGCCACACUGGGACUGA
rnacentral:rRNA from 1 species